AUUGAACGCUGGCGGCAUGCCUAACACAUGCAAGUCGAACGGCAGCACAGUGUGUAGCAAUACACAUGGGUGGCGAGUGGCGGACGGGUGUGUAAUACGUAGGAAUCUUCCCUAAAGUGGGGGAUAACCCGGGGAAACUCGGGCUAAUACCGCAUAAUCUCUAUGGAGCAAAGGAGGGGAUCGAAAGACCUUUCGCUUUAGGAUGAGCCUACGUCGGAUUAGCUAGUUGGUGGGGUAAAGGCCCACCAAGGUGAUGAUCCGUAGCUGGUCUGAGAGGACGGCCAGCCACACUGGGACUGAGACACGGCCCAGACUCCUACGGGAGGCAGCAGUGGGGAAUUUUGGACAAUGGGGGCAACCCUGAUCCAGCGAUGCCGCGUGUGUGAAGAAGGCCUUCGGGUUGUAAAGCACUUUUAGUGGGGAAGAAAGGCCCGAGACUAAUAUCCUCGAGCGUUGACAUUAUCCACAGAAAAAGCACCGGCUAACUCUGUGCCAGCCGCCGCAGUAA
rnacentral:rRNA from 1 species